AUUGGUNAAUGGNCGCAAGUCUGACCAGCCAUGCCGCGUGGAGGAUGAAGGUCCUCUGGAUUGUAAACUUCUUUUAUUUGGGAAGAAACCCACGAUUUCUAUUGUGGUUGACGGUACCAGAUGAAUAAGCACCGGCUAACUUCGUGCCAGCAGCCGCGGUAAUACGAAGGGGGCUAGCGUUGCUCGGAAUUACNUGGGCGUAAAGGGCNCNGUAGGCGGAUGUUUAAGUCGGGGGUGAAAGCCCGGGGCUCAACCUCGGAAUUGCCUUCGAUACUGGACAUCUUGAGUACGGGAGAGGUGAGUGGAACUCCGAGUGUAGAGGUGAAAUUCGUAGAUAUUCGGAAGAACACCAGUGGCGAAGGCGACUCACUGGCCCGUUACUGACGCUGAGGCGCGAAAGCGUGGGGAGCAAACAGGAUUAGAUACCCUGGUAGUCCACGCUGUAAACGAUGAGUGCUAGUUGUCGGGCGGCAUGCCGUUCGGUGACGCAGCUAACGCAUUAAGCACUCCGCCUGGGGAGUACGGUCGCAAGAUUAAAACUCAAAGAAAUUGACGGA
rnacentral:rRNA from 1 species